UUAAUGCUGAGGCGUGAUGGGGAAGGCCCUUGAGGCUGAAGUACAUGAUUCCAUGCUUCCAAGAAAAGCAUCUAGAGAGAGAAGUAGUGCCCGUACCGCAAACCGACACAGGUAGAUGAGGAGAGAAUCCUAAGGCCGGCGGAAGAAUUGCAGUUAAGGAACUAGGCAAUUGACCCCGUAAGUUAGCGAGAAGGGGUGCCUGCGAGAGCAGGCCGCAGAGAAUAGGCCCAAGCAACUGUUUAGCAAAAACACAGGUCUCUGCUAAAGCGCAAGCUGAUGUAUAGGGGCUGACGCCUGCCCGGUGCUGGAAGGUUGAGGGGAACACUUAGCGCAAGCGAAGGUGUGAACUUAAGCCCCAGUAAACGGCGGCCGUAACGAUAACGGUCCUAAGGUAGCGAAAUUCCUUGUCAGGUAAGUUCUGACCCGCACGAAUGGCGUAAUGACUUGGGCACUGUCUCAACUGCAAAUCCGGCGAAGUUGUAGUGCGAGUGAAGAUGCUCGCUACCCGCGAUUGGACGGAAAGACCCCGUAGAGCUUUACUGUAGCUUAGCAUUGAAUUCCGGUAUUGUCUGUACAGGAUAGGUGGGAGACUGGGAAACUAGGGCGUCAGCCUUAGUGGAGUCGUCCUUGGGAUACCACCCUGACGGUACUGGGGUUCUAACAGGACGCCAUGAAUCUGGUGACUGGACAUUGUUAGGUGGGCAGUUUGACUGGGGCGGUCGCCUCCUAAAAAGUAACGGAGGCGCCCAAAGGUUCCCUCAGAACGGUCGGAAAUCGUUCGUAGAGUGCAAAGGCAGAAGGGAGCCUGACUGCGAGACCUACAAGUCGAGCAGGGACGAAAGUCGGGCUUAGUGAUCCGGUGGUACCUCGUGGGAGGGCCAUCGCUCAACGGAUAAAAGCUACCUCGGGGAUAACAGGCUGAUCUCCCCCAAGAGUCCACAUCGACGGGGAGGUUUGGCACCUCGAUGUCGGCUCGUCGCAUCCUGGGGCUGUAGUAGGUCCCAAGGGUUGGGCUGUUCGCCCAUUAAAGCGGCACGCGAGCUGGGUUCAGAACGUCGUGAGACAGUUCGGUCCCUAUCCGUCGCGGGCGUAGGAAAUUUGAGAGGAGCUGUCCUUAGUACGAGAGGACCGGGAUGGACUGACCUCUGGUGCACCAGUUGUUCUGCCAAGAGCAUGGCUGGGUAGCUAAGUCGGGAAGGGAUAAACGCUGAAAGCAUCUAAGCGUGAAGCCUCCCUCAAGAUGAGAUUUCCCAUAGCAUAAGCUAGUAAGACCCCUUGAAGAACACGAGGUUGAUAGGUCAGAGGUGUAAGUGUGGUAACAUAUUUAGCUGACUGAUACUAAUAGGUCGAGGGCUUGACC
rnacentral:rRNA from 1 species